rnacentral:rRNA from 1 species
CUCCGUAGGGUGAACCUGCGGAGGGAUCAUUACACAAAUAUGAAGGCGGGCUGGAACCUCUCGGGGUUACAGCCUUGCUGAAUUAUUCACCCUUGUCUUUUGCGUACUUCUUGUUUCCUUGGUGGGUUCGCCCACCACUAGGACAAACAUAAACCUUUUGUAAUUGCAAUCAGCGUCAGUAACAAAUUAAUAAUUACAACUUUCAACAACGGAUCUCUUGGUUCUGGCAUCGAUGAAGAACGCAGCGAAAUGCGAUAAGUAGUGUGAAUUGCAGAAUUCAGUGAAUCAUCGAAUCUUUGAACGCACAUUGCGCCCUUUGGUAUUCCAAAGGGCAUGCCUGUUCGAGCGUCAUUUGUACCCUCAAGCUUUGCUUGGUGUUGGGCGUCUUGUCUCUAGCUUUGCUGGAGACUCGCCUUAAAGUAAUUGGCAGCCGGCCUACUGGUUUCGGAGCGCAGCACAAGUCGCACUCUCUAUCAGCAAAGGUCUAGCAUCCAUUAAGCCUUUUUUUCAACUUUUGACCUCGGAUCAGGUAGGGAUACCCGCUGAACUUAAGCAUAUCAAUAAGCCGGAGGAA